rnacentral:rRNA from 1 species
UACGUAGGGUGCAAGCGUUGUCCGGAUUUAUUGGGCGUAAAGAGCUCGUAGGCGGUUUGUCGCGUCGGAUGUGAAAACCCAGGGCUCAACCCUGGGCCUGCAUUCGAUACGGGCAGACUAGAGUAUGGCAGGGGAGACUGGAAUUCCUGGUGUAGCGGUGAAAUGCGUAGAGAUGCGGAGGAACACCGAUGGCGAAGGCAGCCCCCUGGGCUGACACUGACGCUCAGGCACGAAAGCGUGGGGAGCAAACAGG